rnacentral:rRNA from 1 species
UUAAUUGAAGAGUUUGAUCAUGGCUCAGAUUGAACGCUGGCGGCAGGCCUAACACAUGCAAGUCGAGCGGCAGCACAGAGGAACUUGUUCCUUGGGUGGCGAGCGGCGGACGGGUGAGUAAUGCCUGGGAAAUUGCCCGGUAGAGGGGGGAUAACCAUUGGAAACGAUGGCUAAUACCGCAUAACCUCG